GUGACACAGUAAUUAAAAGAAAAAAAUCUCAACUAUGAAUGCUGACAUGUUAUUUUGUCUCUUGUCUCCUGUCAUCUGGAACCACAAUUCUGUCCAUGUCAGGAACUCCUUCAUGUGGAAGCUCCUUCUACCAAUACACAUUGGCUACAGUCUGUAAUUUAUCAUGUGGCAUUGAGAAUUGGAGCAUCUUGCUUACAAGUGUGUGUCAAAGGCAGGAAAUGAACCUAAUUCUUCUUGACUCUAAGGUUAGCUCAGUAUCUAUUGUGCCAUGCUUCCAGACCAUGUUUGAAGAGAAAUUCACCCAAUUGAGCCUUCCAUCUCCCACCAGAUGCAGCACAGGACUCCUCUUCCCCUGUCCUGCUUGGGCAGCAGCCAAGCUUCUGACAUUGUACUUCUGGACCAGUACUCUUCAAUCCAUUGGCACUGGACUGACACUGGACUGAAUCCUGGCCGUCUCACUAACAAGCCACUCCAUCUCAGCCUGGCUAUCCCCCAUGCCUAGAACUCUCUCAUCUGCACACUCUGACAAUUUACUUUCCUGGCUUCCUUUAAGUCCCAAAUACAAUUUCAUUUACUUCGGGAAGCCUUUCCUAAAGCCUUCAUUCCUGUGUAUAGCUAAAUUUGUUUCUAUUUGUUUGUGUAUUGUCUUCUCUAUUAGAUGGUAAGCUUGAGGACAAGAAACAUCUAUUCCUUGGUGCUUACUGCAAUGUCUGGCCUAUAGUAAGCACUUAAAUGUUUAUUGAAUGAACAAAUUACGUGUAUAUAUAUAUAUAUAUAUAUAUAUAUAUAUAUAUAUAUAUAUCCCUGCCUAUUAUCUCUCUUAUUAGAAUGUAUGCUUCUAGACAGGGAAAGGACUAGUUUCCUUUUGUGUUUGUAUAGCCAGUGUUUAAUUAGUAUUAAUUAAUAGUAGGUACAUACUGCUCAUUGAUGAAUUGAUUGAUGAAUUGAAUGGAAGGAAUUUCACCCCUCCAUUGACUUCCAACAUUUGGCACAUUGCUUAGAAUUUUGCCCUCUCCUCACUUCUAACAUUGUAUAUGCUUAACUGAAAUUAUGUUUCUCAGUGUUUGGGCAAGGGAUGGAUUUGGUCUAAGGAGCAUGACAGGUAGAGAGGAUGAAGCACAGGCAUUUUUAAAAAUUGUAUCUGUCAUUUAAUUCUUUAGCCACUUUGUGACCGUUCACCUCAGGCAGGUGUGUCUGUGUGUGUUCCUGUGGGGGGGCGUAUUUGAUAUUCUCUCCAUUGCCUAUGUUAUCUGAGUUGCUAAUCUCUCCAUGAGUCCAAUUCCACUCAAUGACAGCAGUUCUAGGGAACAAGGGUUGAGCAAUAAGGGCCUGUUUCCUUUCUGUGUGUAUUUUUUCACUGACCUGACUAUUGAAAUUUGCAAGACAAGAAGGGGCUACUUCAAGUACAAUGAUGCCCUGUCCUUGAAAGGCACUGGAAGCCAGAAAGAACAAUGGGUAGAUAAACUUGGAGUCCCUAGACUUCAAGGUUUCUCCACUUGGUUAUUUUCCAAGCAAUCCAUAAGUACCUUUUAAGUAAAGUAAAUUGUCAGACAAUAACCACAGAAUUUUAAAGACAAACAACUUUGAAAGGCUUAAGAUCUCUGAUCAAUGCAAUGACCAACUAUGAUUCCAGAUGACUAAAGAUAAAGUAUGAUACCCACAUCCUGACAGAAUGCAAGAUGCGUUAUUUGGACAAAACCAAUGAGCAAAUGUAUUUUGUUUGACUAUGCAUAUUUAUUACAAGGUGUUUUGUUCUUUUUUUUUCUCAAUGUGGAAUUGGGAAAAGUGAGAGGAUGAAAAAAGUAAUGCUUAUUCAUUUUUUAAAGUAAAUUAAUCAUGAAAAUUGAUAAUAAUAACUUGGAGUACAUAGAACUUUUCUCAAGGAUGCUGAAUCAAGAAAGAGUGCUAAUAGUAUUGUAUUCCUUUAGCAUCAUUAGAUACCAGAAGAUUUUAGUACCUAGUUAGUGAGAAUUAUUUCACUAAAAUAGGAAGCUAUCAAAUGGUUGUCUAGGAUGCACUUCCCUUGUUCCUAUGCUAUUCCCUCUAUGGGCAUUUCAGCUCUCCCCAUCCCAUUUUCACACUGAUAUCCCCAAUGUCUCUGUCUCUCUUCCACACCUAGCUACAAGUCUGCUUCAUGCAACUAGUCCUAGGAAUGGUCCAUGGUACUUUUCCACAAACAAAAAAAAAAAACAUUUAGGCACAGUCAUAUUAUGCCAAAUCUGUAGUAAAUGACCUUGAGGAUAUACAUGGUUUGACCAUGGAAUCUUUCACCUAUAAUACUAAUAAUUCCAGUUAUAGUUACUGACAUUUAUAUAGAUCUUCAGGGAUUACAAAGUGGUUUGCAUGCAAUAUCUCAUUUUAGUCUCAUUACAACCCUGAAAGAGAUAUAUUACUAAUCUAAUUAUCUUUAUUUUACAGGUGAGGAAACUAUUUUUGUUUGGUUUUUGUUUUUGUUUUUGUUUUUUAUUCUUUUACUUUUGAAAAUUUGUAUUUAAGUAAUUAAUUUAGAAUAUUUUUCCAUGGUUACAAGAUCCAUGUUCUUUCCCUCUCCUCUCCAAUCCCCUCCCAUAGCCGACACACAAUUCCCCUGAGUUUUACAUGUGUCAUUGAUUUGACGUAUUUCCAUAUUAUUGAUAUUUGCAAUAGAGUCUCCUCAUUUGAGUCUAUAUCCUCAAUCAUAUCCCCAUCAACUCAUAUGAUCAAGCAAUUGUUUUUCUUCUGUGUUUCUACUCCCACAGUUCUUUCUCUGAAUGUGGAUAGCAUUCUUUCUCUUAAGUCCCUCAAAAUUGUCUUGGAUCAUACAGGUGAGGAAACUGGCUCUUUCUUUUUAACUAUUUUUUUUAAUACCUUAACCCCUUACCUUCCAUCUUAGAAUCAAUCCUAUGUAUUGUUUCCAAAAAAGGCAGAAGAGCAGUAUGCAAUGGAGGUCAAGUGACUUGCCCAGGAUCAUACAUCUAGGAAGUGUGUAAGCCCAGCUUUGAACCCAGGACCUCUUGUCUCUAUUCCUGGCUCUCAAUCCAUUGAACCACCUAGCUUCCCCUCAAACUGGCCCUUUCAAGGCAUCCCUGCUGCUGUUAUCCCAGUAGAAUUGAACAAAUAAGCCCCUUUUAUACUAAAUAUAAUAAUAAUAGCUAACAUUUAUAAGGUAAUGCAAUGGAUAGAUUGCCUAGGCCCGGAGUCAGGAAGAUCUGAAUUCAAAUCCAGCCUCAGAUACUUACUAGCUAUGUGACCCUGGGCAAGAAAGAACUAAUGGAGUUUGAGAACAGAAUGAAUUUUACCAUUCUUCACUUUAUUUCCUCCAAAUGACAUGUAACUUCUUUUACAAUAUGAUGAACAUGGAAAAAUUGUAGGAUAAGAUACAUACAACCUAUAUCAGUGAUGGCAAACCUUUUAGAGACAGAGUGUCUGGCCCUGCCCCCACCACACACCCCAGACCUAGUACCAUGCUCCUCCCCCUCCCCCCACAUGCAGGGUAUUCCCUGCCCCCUCCUUACCCCACACAGGGGAGGGAGAAAGUACUACCAAUGGGUUGCUAGACAGAGAGUUGGAUGAAGUGAAAAUGUCCUCAGCAAGUGUUGAGAGGGGGAAGGGAGUAGCCCAAACAUUCAGCUCCCCUCCAGUUCUGCCUUCUGUAAACCGAAAGCCUUAUUUCCUAUGCGCUCCCACUGGGCUACUGAGCAGAGGGGAAGAGGCUAUGAAAAAAUAUCAUUAGGCCUAGUGGAGAGGGGGAGGGGAGCAACUCUGCCUGCAUCCCUCUGCCUUUCUAGUAACAAAUUUGGGUGGGGUGACUGAGUGCCCACAGAGAGCACUCUAUAUGUGAUCUUUGGCAUUCAUGCCAUAGGUUUGCCAUCACUGAUCAAUAUCAUAUUUCCUGUCAUCUCAGUGGGGAAGAGUAGGAAAAGAGAAAUAACAUGAAUUGCAAAAUGUCAGAAAAUUAUUUUAUACAUACAUAUUUUAUACAUAAUACAAAACUUGUAUUAGAUACUCAUAGAACAUGAACAGAAAGAUAAAACACAAAAGACUUGAUUUAUAGGAAUAUGUUGGCCUCCAUGAUGAUAUGCUUUGUGAUGUAGGGAAGGUGGAGAGAGAUUGGGACACUAAAUGGGAUCUGUUAUGUGGAUGUAAAGAAAAAUAAGAUAAACAUAUAGGAGAUCUGUGAUUUCAUUUGUAUAGUAUCUUCUUUUGUUAUAUAUGGAAAUACUUGUUUGGAUUUGAAACAUUUAGAAUAAAAAUGGUUUUAAAAAUUAUAUCA
rnacentral:lncRNA from 1 species